rnacentral:rRNA from 1 species
ACGUGCCUACUCAUGCAGUCGAGCGGACUUGUGGGAGCUUGCUCCCGAAAGUUAGCGGCGGACGGGUAUUACACGUGGGCACCUGCCUAUAAGACUGGGAUAACUUCGGGAAACCGGAGCUAAUACCCGGAUAAUUCCUUUCCUCUCAUGAGGAAAGGCUGAAAGACGGUUUACGCUGUCACUUAUAGAUUGGCCCGCGGCGCAUUAGCUAGUUCGUGAGGUAACGGCUCACCAAGGCGACGAUGCGUAGCCGACCUGAGAGGGUGAUCGGCCACACUGGGACUGAGACACGGCCCAGACUCCUACGGGAGGCAGCAGUAGGGAAUCUUCCGCAAUGGACGAAAGUCUGACGGAGCAACGCCGCGUGAGUGAUGAAGGUUUUCGGAUCGUAAAACUCUGUUGUUAGGGAAGAACAAGUACGAGAGUAACUGCUCGUACCUUGACGGUACCUAACCAGAAAGCCCCGGCUAACUUCGUGCCAGCAGCCGCGGUAAUACGAAGGGGGCUAGCGUUGCUCGGAGUUACUGGGCGUAAAGCGCACGUAGGCGGCUUUUUAAGUCGGGGGUGAAAUC